rnacentral:lncRNA from 1 species
AUUGUGCAAAUCUUUAAAAAGUAAUUUCAUAUGCUCAUGUUAUCUACCAGUAAGGUUUGUGAUACUCAUUUUGUUCAAAGUAAACUUAGUUUCUCUAUUUUCAUUGCACAUUCUGAAGUGUCUUCUUUCAGUAAAAGCAGGUUGUGAUGGUGCUGGAAGACUUGUUGUUUCACUAGUAAGCAUAACAAGAACAGAUGAAAUACUUGGCCUGUCUUCAGCAAAUUCUUGUACACAUAGUAAACCAAUCUGUAUGCAUUUUCUGAUCUCUAUUUCCGAGCUCGGAUUCAAUAUAAACGGAUCGAUAAAAGUUGAUAAAUCUUGUUCUUUCCAUAACUUCCAUGCCUGAAAUAUAAGGUACAUGAUAUAGUCGGUCAGACCUCUUUAUAAUAGUCGUCCUCUAUAAUAACAUUUCAUUAUAUAACAGCCAAGUUCUUUUUUGGAACUGAUUCUUCAUGUUAUGUUAUAUUAUACGUUCUUUAUAACAAACAUUUCGCUAUAGCAACUAUAAGAGGAGUCUUACAUAUCCCAAAAGGCUCAAAGAGGAUGUCUCAGUCCAAGAAUUUGUACUUUUUCGACCACUUAUGAUCUCUAAGACUAGAACUCCAAAGCUGAAAACAUCGGAUUUCUCUGAGAAUCUUCCUUCCAUUGCAUAUUCGGGUGCCAUGUAUCCACUGUAAAUAUGUCAGUACGAUUCGAGUAGUUAAAUUAUGCAAAGUUAUGGUAUUGUAUAUAGAUAAAUGAUCACUUACUAAGUACCAACUACUCUCAUUGUGUCUGCUUGAUCUUGAUCAGAUCCGAAAAUCCUAGCCAUGCCAAAAUCUGAAAUCUUUGGAUUGAAGUUAUUAUCGAGCAAGAUGUUACUUGGCUUUAGAUCUCUAUGAAUUAUCUUCAAUCUUGAAUCUCUGUGUAGAUAAAGGAGUCCUCGACCAACUCCUUCGAUUAUAAUGGAACGUUUUGUCCAAUCCAAAAUGUCUCGAUGUGCUUCAUCUAGAUGUUUGUCAAAUAUGAAUGGAGAAUUUAAACAAAAGGAUCAGAAGAAAUGUGGAGUAAUGUUGCUCAGAAUGCUGAUGUACUCAUGUUGGAUCCUCCAAAAAUGCAGUACUUUUGGGGGAUCUAGCAAGCAUCCAUCAACAUUAUUGAAGAGUCCGAGCAACAUAGAUGUGGAGUAAUGCAGAUGAGAAGUAACAAGGACUAACCAAAGAGAAACACAUCUAAGCUUUUCUUUGGCAUAUAUUCAUAAAUCAGCAUCUUCUCCUCUUUAUCGACACAGCAUCCACAGAGUCUAACAAGGUUUCUAUGUUGGACUUUCGAGAUCACCAACACUUCAUUCAUGAACUCCUCCAGCCCUUGUUUCGAGGCUUUUGAGAGCCUCUUGACAGCUAUUUCUUUCCCAUCUUCCAAUUUCCCCUACAAGGAAUCACCAAUAUCAGUAACUUGAAUUAUGGGAAGUGAUCGAGAGAGAUGAAACUCGUACCUUGUAAACUGGACCAAAACCGCCCUGACCAAGCUUAUUAUCCUCAUUGAAUUGGGAUGUUGCAUUUGCAAUCGUAUCGAGGCUGAAGACUGGUAAUUCUUCCAUAUUAACUGGACUUUUGUUACCAAGUAAAGCUACCUCCUCUCUUUUCACUCCUAAUAUCAGCAGGAAUACAAGUUAACUAUAGCGAACAAAGUGCUUCUUAAUGUGUAAUACAAAAACUUAUUAGCAUGUUUACCUCUACGUCUGAUCACCAUUGUAUAGCAAAGGAACAGACAAACACAGAGUGUAAGAGAACCAACAAUUACUGGAAUUACGAUUUUCUUUAUGUCUUUACCAUGAUCUGCAGAAAACACUAAAGGUGAACAAAUAUCAGUUCUUUACAGAAUACAUGGAAUUCAAUUAAGUCGAACAUAUCUCAAAGGCAUAAUACAUAAAUGUGUCUUUUGAUUUGGCCUUUGCUGACAUCCAUGCCAUCUAACUUUGAGUGUUCAUGAGAGCAUAGAUGUGAGUUGAGGCCAAGUAAAAGGGCACAUUUAUGUAUUACGCCUAUCUGAAAUGACUGACAAUGAGUUUUUUAUUCAGUACCAGAAUACAUACCAAGCUCUGAAUUUGCCACGUGAAUAUAGAGAUCUUUCCCCGAGCUUUGGAACUGCUGAAUGUCAAUCAUUUCACUCCACGACAUACAGCCGAUACCUGAAUCAAAUGCAUACCCUAUGCAGGAACAAUUCCCCAAGCAUUGGCUUCUACAUAAGUCUUCUGAAGUAGAUGACCUUUCAGCAAAAUCAGGCAAUUUCAUCAACUCCAUCUUUAGAAAUCCGUCUUCUUUACUUGAAUUCGCGGUGUUAUUCUUAACUUCACAUUGCAAAGCACUCCUCCUAACACAACCACUAGUCCAAUUCCCCUUUUCCCAUUCUUCCCUAUGCUUUGGCUCGAAACCUUUCAGACAAGAACAGACCGGCGACUCCAAAUGAUUGCAGCUCCCAAAUGGACCACACGUUCCAUAAACUUCACAAUUGUUACUGGGAGCUGACCAUAUUAUCUUCCAGUUUGUCUCAGUCACAUUCCAAUAUGAUUGAACCAAGUUCCCUCUCCAAUCCAAGACUAAUAUCCUUAAAAAAUUAUCACGAAUAGGUCCAGUAAAAUAUACAGUACCUUCGCGAUCAUUCACUACAUUAAAUCCAUCAGAUACCACAGCAUACAUAUUCUGCACUCCUAUAAAGAUCUGUCCAUUCCAUUGACCAGUUCGCCAAUAGGGACGGUUUCCUUUCCAUAUAUACACUUGAGGAAUGACUCCAGAGUUCAUUCUUAAAGAAAAGUCUCCGAUAUUAGGAUCCGAAGGACUUCUCCAAGAUCUUGCUUCUACCAUCUCCCCUGUCCUUGUAUUUUCACUUAUUCUCAUUCUAGGAAUAGUUGAAUCAGAAGGAUGUUCAAAACUCUGCCAUAUAGUGCUCAUAUUGUCCCGAUGAUCAACGAGAACAAAGUUCCCAGAAUCUUGGAGAAGGCCAAUUGAGUUUACCUGAGAAGUUGAAACAUUUGAUGACCAAAGAAUCUCCUCCUCUCCAUUCGUUAUAACGACAUUUCCAUCACGAGAUAUCUUUACAACACCAGAAGAAUCUCUUAAAGGUUUGUCCCUAUUAGCCACCCAAAUGACAGUUGUUACAGAAAAAUUGUACCAAAUACCAACAUACCUAUUAGUACUGUUUUGAGGACUGAAAAAUCCUAACUUGAAUACGCCUCCUGGAGACGAUAAAAUUCCAGGAUCUCUCAGAGAUUGAAUGCUGGUAAUGUUAUCCACUUCACUGCAUAAUCCUGUAUCGAUAAAACGAAGAAUAACAAGAAUUAUAUGAACAAAAUAUUGCAAAUUUCUUCUUCUGCUGCUGCUGUUGCUCAUCUUUUUGGUUUUCUAAGACUUUUCUUAUUACCACACUAUAUGAACAAAAGCACAAUAUGUUGUCAAAGUCUAAUAUCACAAGCAGCCAAAUAGGAUUUUUAAUUUGUUGACCCUAUAGAAAUAUCACAAACCACAUAUCAUUCUCUAUCCGAGACUUUUAGGCCAAUGCAAAAAUUGACACUUAAAAACGAAUAAUGUAAAAUGUAGAGUUUAACUUCUAUACGCUGACAAUAUAAGUCUUUUCUCCCAUCACUAUCAUUGUGUAGUAUGUUCCUGAAAUAACAUUGUGAAUUGACAAGUUUUAACUUGUUGAAAUAACACAUUUCUUUUCCUUAAAUUAUUAAAUGCUCAUUGAAAAAAGAAGAAGAAAAUAAAAUAAAAUGAGUAUUGAUGUAAAGAUAUGACAUCUAAGCUUAAUUCAACCUUAGACCAGAAAUAUAAUGAUUGAUAUAUUUAAACUAUUUCGAAAAAGUAAAAUGAGUGAAAAUCCAAAAGCCACGUUAGUGUGAGAAUUGAGUGGGGACCUUGACAAUAAGCUAGCAUCUCAACGUCAACAUGCUUGUCAACUAUAAGUGGUAAUAAUGCACAUAGUGUAAUGAAAAAUGUAUUGUUGCACAAAUUGACAUUAAACCUAAAUGCCUUUUCAUUUUAUUCCAAAUACAUCCCAUAAUAUAUUCUGUGAUUGGCAAACACAUAUUACACUUGUGGAUUAUGAUAUUUGAUUCAACACGAAUAUUUAACAUGUAAUCGAAAAAUGAAUGACAAAGAUAUCAUACAAAUUGAGACAAAUGGAUAAUUUUGCAUAUCUUAAAAAUAAUAAUUUCAUAUACUCAUGUCAUCUACCAGUUAUGUUUGUGAUACUGAUAUUGUUCAAAGUACAAUUAGUUACAUUGCACAUUUUGAAGAUACAAUCAUGUCUUUCAGUAAAAGCAGGUUGUGAUGGUGCAGGAAGACUUGUAGUUUCACUGGUAAGCAUAGCAAGAACAGAUGAAAUACUUGGUCUGUCUUCAGCAAAUUCUUGAACACAUAGUAAACCAAUCUGUAUGCAUUUUCUGAUCUCCAUUUCCGAGCUCGUGUUCAAUAUGAAUGGAUCGAUAAAAGUUGAUAAAUCUUGUUCUUUCCAUAAC